rnacentral:rRNA from 1 species
UACGGAGGGUGCAAGCGUUGUCCGGAUUUAUUGGGUUUAAAGGGUGCGUAGGCUGUAAAUUAAGUCAGAGGUGAAAUCCAACAGCUCAACUGUUGAACUGCCUUUGAUACUGGUUUACUUGAGUAUAGAUGAGGUAGGCGGAAUUUAUGGUGUAGCGGUGAAAUGCGUAGAUAUAGGAAGGAACAUCAGUGGCGAAGGCGGCCAUCUGGACCAAUACUGACGCUGAGGUGCGAAAGCGUGGGGAGCAAACAGG